UACGAAGGGUGCAAACGUUGCUCGGAAUUAUUGGGCGUAAAGCGCACGUAGGCGGCUUUGCAAGUCCCAUGUGAAAUCCCACGGCUCAACCGUGGAAGUGCAUGGGAAACUGCAGAGCUUGAGUACUUAAGAGGAUCGCGGAAUUCCCGGUGUAGAGGUGAAAUUCGUAGAUAUUCGCAAGAACACCAGUGGCGAAGGCGGCUCACUGGCCCGGUACUGACGCUGAGGAGCGAAAGCGUGGGUAGCGAACAGG
rnacentral:rRNA from 1 species